rnacentral:rRNA from 1 species
UACGUAGGGUCCGAGCGUUUGUCCGGAAUUACUGGGCGUAAAGAGCUCGUAGGUGGUUUGUCGCGUUGUUCGUGAAAACUCACAGCUCAACUGUGGGCGUGCGGGCGAUACGGGCAGACUAGAGUACUGCAGGGGAGACUGGAAUUCCUGGUGUAGCGGUGGAAUGCGCAGAUAUCAGGAGGAACACCGGUGGCGAAGGCGGGUCUCUGGGCAGUAACUGACGCU